rnacentral:rRNA from 1 species
UACGGAGGCCUCGAGCGUUAGGCGGAAUCACUGGGCUUAAAGCGUGUGUAGGCGGGCCCGUAAGUGUCUUGUGAAAUCCCACGGCUCAACCGUGGAACUGCUGGGCAUACUGCGGGUCUUGGGCCAACUAGGGGCAGCCGGAACAAGCGGUGGAGCGGUGAAAUGCGUAGAUAUCGCUUGGAACGCCGAAGGUGAAAACAGGCUGCUGGGGUUGCGCCGACGCUGAGACACGAAAGCCAGGGGAGCAAACGGG